rnacentral:rRNA from 1 species
AUGCUAUUUGCAACUUUAGAACAUAUCCUAACUCAUAUCUCUUUCUCAACGAUUUCAAUUAUGAGUACGAUUCAUUUUAUAACCUUAUUAGUUCAUGAACUUGGAGGAUUACGUGAUUCAUCAAAAAAAGGAAUGAUAGUUACUUUUUUCUCUAUAAUAGGAUUCUUAGUUUCUCGUUGGGCUUCCUCGGGACAUUUUCCAUUAAGUAAUUUGUAUGAGUCAUUGAUCUUCCUUUCAUGGGCCCUGUAUAUUCUUCAUACCAUUCCUAAAAUACAUAACUCUAAAAAUGAUUUAAGCACAAUAACUACGCCAAGUACUAUUUUAACGCAAUGCUUUGCCACAUCGGGCCUUUUAACUGAAAUGCAUCAAUCUACGGUACUAGUACCUGCUCUACAAUCUCAGUGGUUAAUGAUGCAUGUCAGUAUGAUGUUAUUAAGCUAUGCAACUCUUUUGUGCAGGUCCUUAUUAUCUGCCGUUAUUCUAAUCAUUAGAUUUCGAAAUAAUUUCCAUUUAUUUUCUAAAAAGAAAAAAUGUUUUAAAUAA